rnacentral:rRNA from 1 species
CCUACGGGUGGCAGCAGUGGGGAAUAUUGCUCAAUGGGGGAAACCCUGAAGCAGCAACGCCGCGUGGAGGAAGAAGGUUUUCGGAAUGUAAACCUCUUUUGGUAGGGAAGAAAAUGACGGUAUCCAAAGUAUGAAGACCGGCUAAAUACCUGCCAGCAGCCCCGGGAAAACGGAGGGGGCAAAGGUUACCCGGAAUCACUGGGCGUAAAGAGGGCGUAGGCGGGCUAGCAAGUCAGAUGUGAAAUCCUAUGGCUUAACCGCGGAACUGCAUUUGAAACUGUUAUUCUAGAGUAUUGGAGAGGUAGGCGGAAUUCUUAGUGUAGCGGUGAAAUGCGUAGAGAUCAAGAGGAAUACCCAUGGCGAAGGCGGCCUGCUAGACCAAAACUGACGUUGAGGCGCGAAAGCGUGGGGAGCAAACAGGAUUAGAUACCCGAGUAGUC